UUGUCCUUAGUUACCAGCACGUUAUGGUGGGCACUCUAAGGAGACUGCCGGUGACAAACCGGAGGAAGGUGGGGAUGACGUCAAGUCAUCAUGGCCCUUACGGCCUGGGCUACACACGUGCUACAAUGGCCGGCACAGCGGGAAGCGAGGCAGUGAUGCCGAGCGGAUCCCUUAAAGCCGGUCUACAGUUCGGAUUGAAGUCUGCAACUCGACUUCAUGAAGCUGGAAUCGCUAGUAAUCGCAGAUCAGCCAAGCUGCGGUGAAUACGUUCCCGGGCCUU
rnacentral:rRNA from 1 species